rnacentral:rRNA from 1 species
UAAAACAGCAUCACGCAUGUCAGUAUGUAAUAGCUCGGCCACCGAAUACAUUAGCAUGGGAUAAUGGAAUAGGACCCUGUCCUCCUAUUUUCAGUUGGUUUUGGCAGCGCGAGGACUAGGGUAAUGAUUAAUAGGGAUAGUUGGGGGCAUUAAUAUUUAAUUGUCAGAGGUGAAAUUCUUGGAUUUAUGAAAGAUUAACUUCUGCGAAAGCAUCUGCCAAGGAUGUUUUCAUUAAUCAAGAACGAAAGUUAGGGGAUCGAAGACGAUCAGAUACCGUCGUAGUCUUAACCAUAAACGAUGCCGACCAGCGAUUAGGAGACGUUGAAUACAAAACACCACCAUCGGUGCGGUCGUCCUUGGCGUCGGUUUCGGCCGGCGCGGGGGCGGCUUAGCCCGGUGGCACCGGUGAAUGACUCCCCUAGCAGCUUGUGAGAA